rnacentral:rRNA from 1 species
AACGAACGCUGGCGGCAUGCCUAACACAUGUAAGUCGAACGAGACCUUCGGGUCUAGUGGCGCACGGGUGCGUAACGCGUGGGAACCUGCCCUUAGGUUCGGAAUAACUCCCCGAAAGGGGUGCUAAUACCGGAUAAUGUCUUCGGACCAAAGAUUUAUCGCCUUUGGAUGGGCCCGCGUUGGAUUAGCUUGUUGGUAGGGUAAAAGCCUACCAAGGCGACGAUCCAUAGCUGGUCUGAGAGGAUGAUCAGCCACACUGGGACUGAGACACGGCCCAGACUCCUACGGGAGGCAGCAGUGGGGAAUAUUGGACAAUGGGCGAAAGCCUGAUCCAGCAAUGCCGCGUGAGUGAUGAAGGCCUUAGGGUUGUAAAGCUCUUUUACCCGGGAUGAUAAUGACAGUACCGGGAGAAUAAGCUCCGGCUAACUCCGUG